CCUACGGGAGGCAGCAGUGGGGAAUUUUGGACAAUGGGCGCAAGCCUGAUCCAGCAAUGCCGCGUGAGUGAAGAAGGCCUUCGGGUUGUAAAGCUCUUUUGUCAGGGAAGAAACGGUGGGGGUUAAUAUCUCCUGCUAAUGACGGUACCUGAAGAAUAAGCACCGGCUAACUACGUGCCAGCAGCCGCGGUAAUACGUAGGGUGCAAGCGUUAAUCGGAAUUACUGGGCGUAAAGCGUGCGCAGGCGGUUUUGUAAGUUUGUCGUGAAAUCCCCGGGCUCAACCUGGGAAUGGCGAUGAAGACUGCAAGGCUAGAAUCUGGCAGAGGGGGGUAGAAUUCCACGUGUAGCAGUGAAAUGCGUAGAGAUGUGGAGGAACACCGAUGGCGAAGGCAGCCCCCUGGGUCAAGAUUGACGCUCAUGCACGAAAGCGUGGGGAGCAAACAGGAUUAGAUACCCUGGUAGUCCACGCCCCUAAACGAUGUCUACUAGUUGUCGGGUUUUAAUUACGUUGGUAACGCAGCUAACGCGUGAAGUAGACCGCCGGGUAGGUACGGUCGGCGAGAAUAACUUAACAANAAGAAUUGGACGGCUGAGACGUGCGAGACGACGACGAGGGAGGAGG
rnacentral:rRNA from 1 species